rnacentral:rRNA from 1 species
AUGGUGUCUGGAUGGAUUUGGGGGCGCAUCGGCUGCAAAUUCGAUGCCAGCGGCCGCGGGCCGUGCAUCACGGGCAAUUGUGGUGGCGUGUUGUCCUGUGCCGCCGGUGGGAAGCCACCCGCGACGCUCGCCGAGUACACGCUAGGUAAGGGCGGCAGCCCUGACUUCUAUGACAUCCCCCUCGUCGAUGGAUUCAACGUGCCCAUGAGCUUUGGGCCUAUCGGCAGCAGCUGUCACGCGAUAAUCUGUACCGCGGACAUCAACGCAAAGUGCCCGUCGGAGCUGAAGGUGGACGGAGGCUGUGUGAGUGCGUGCAUCAAGUUCGGCACCACCCAAUACUGCUGCAUGCCGCCGCUUACGCCGUCGACCUGUGGGCCGACGGACUACUCGCGCUUCUUCAAGGGGCACUGUCCGGACGCCUACAGCUACGCCUACGAGAAGAGCAGCACCUUCACAUGCCACGUCCGAUCAGACUACCAAGUCACCUUCUGCCCAUAG